rnacentral:rRNA from 1 species
AUUGAACGCUGGCGGCAGGCCUAACACAUGCAAGUCGAACGAGUGGCGGACGGGUGAGUAAUGUAUGGGAACCUGCCCGAUCGAGGGGGAUAACUACUGGAAACGGUAGCUAAUACUGCAUAACAUCGUAUGUGCCCAGAGGGGAUUAGCUAGUAGGUGGGGUAACGGCUCACCUAGGCGACGAUCACUAGCUGGUCUGAGAGGUUGACCAGCCACACUGGAACUUGGACACGGUCCAGACUCCUACGGGAGGCAGCAGUGGGGAAUAUUGGGCAAUGGACGAAAGCCUGAUAGAGCCAUGCCGCGUGUAUGAAGAAGGCCUUCGGGUCGUAAAGUACUGUCAGCGAGGAGGCGUUAACCGCAGAGGAAGCCCCGGCUAACUCCGUGCCAGCAGCCGCGGUAAUUC